CCAGAGUCCCUUGCUUGAGCCAAGAUAUUACUUAUAAGAUUUUUAAUAACUCAUGAACAUAUAUAGGUUCAUGAAAGGCAGUAUGCAAAUAUAACAAACAAAUAAAAUGGCUCGACUGCCCCAACAUUCCAUAAAGCCUAGGAGCCCACAGGUCUUUUUAUGAUGUUUCAAAGUGUUUUUAGUGUUUCUGUUCGGCGCCCUGGGCUCCUGCUGGAAGGAAGGGCGGGGUAUGUAUAAGUAGUGUCACGUUGCUGGCUACUCAUAGUGGAUUUCAGAGUUACUUCCAUGGCUUGAAGAUCCGUUGAUCCUGCUUUGUUUUGCUUUGCAACAACUUCUCCUGAUUUGCUAUGCAUUUGCGCUUUUAAUGUAGUUGAUCUUAUGCUGAAUUGUCUUUCUCUUUAAGCUCAUUAAAAAUAAGGCAUUUAAGCA